GCCCCCAUAGCUCAAUGGAUAGAGCGACGCUCUUCUAAGGCGACGAUCUGGGUUCGAUUCCUAGUGGGGGCACAA
rnacentral:tRNA from 1 species